rnacentral:rRNA from 1 species
AACGAACGCUGGCGGCAGGCUUAANACAUGCAAGUCGAACGCCCCUUCGGGGGAGUGGCAGACGGGUGAGUAACGCGUGGGAACCUACCUUUCGGUACGGAACAACAGUUGGAAACGACUGCUAAUACCGUAUACGUCCUUCGGGAGAAAGAUUUAUCGCCGAUAGAGGGGCCCGCGUUGGAUUAGCUUGUUGGUGAGGUAAUGGCUCACCAAGGCGACGAUCCAUAGCUGGUCUGAGAGGAUGAUCAGCCACACUGGGACUUAGACACGGCCCAGACUCCUACGGGANGCAGCAGUGGGGAAUAUUGGACAAUGGGCGAAAGCCUGAUCCAGCCAUGCCGCGUGAGUGAUGACGGCCUUAGGGUUGUAAAGCUCUUUCAGUGGUGAAGAUAAUGACGGUAACCACAGAAGAAGCCCCGGCUAACUCCGUGCCAGCAGCCGCGGUAAUACGGAGGGGCAAGCGUUGUUCGGAAUUACUGGGCGUAAAGCGCGCGUA